rnacentral:rRNA from 1 species
AUUGAACGCUGGCGGCAGGCCUAACACAUGCAAGUCGAGCGGAUGAAGGGAGCUUGCUCCUGGAUUCAGCGGCGGACGGGUGAGUAAUGCCUAGGAAUCUGCCUGGUAGUGGGGGAUAACGUCCGGAAACGGGCGCUAAUACCGCAUACGUCCUGAGGGAGAAAGUGGGGGAUCUUCGGACCUCACGCUAUCAGAUGAGCCUAGGUCGGAUUAGCUAGUUGGUGGGGUAAAGGCCUACCAAGGCGACGAUCCGUAACUGGUCUGAGAGGAUGAUCAGUAACACUGGAACUGAGACACGGUCCAGACUCCUACGGGAGGCAGCAGUGGGGAAUAUUGGACAAUGGGCGAAAGCCUGAUACAGCAAUGCCGCGUGUGUGAAGAAGGUCUUCGGAUUGUAAAGCACUUUAAGUUGGGAGGAAGGGCAGUAAGUUAAUACCUUGCUGUUUUGACGUUACCAACAGAAUAAGCACCGGCUAACUUCGUG